GUUAUUACUGUUGGUACGUUCCACCUUUAUCAUCCCGCCUUCUUCAGUUAGGACGGCCACGCCCCUAACCCCCACUUUUGCCUGCACCACGGUGAAAUGCAUUGUGGGAAACUCCCUAGCUCGUUCCUACAGAGCAUCAGUUAAGGACCAAACAAGGAGGAACAAGCCAAACAGUAGGUGCUGAGAGCUACGUCAACAAAUUAUACAUCUUUUAACGGUUUAAGAAUCUUGUGCACAAAGCAACUGAAUAAACGUUUCAGAAGAUACAGUUUGCCAUUUCUACACUCCACGAGAAAAAAAGAAUAAGGAGAGUCAAAGAAACACUGCCCUCGCGCCAAAAGAGAUUUCAUAAUGGAAUCUAAAGCUAGAUCUGCCAAGACAACUAAAGCUACAGGUGAGAAGAAGGAGAAUCCAAAUCCCACACCGAAGAAGUCUGCAGCCGCAGAGGCUGCAUCAGCAGCUGAAUCAACAGAAAACAAAGCAAAUGUGGAGGAGCAUGAAGCCUCUAAUGGAUCGAAAGAGGGAUCAGGGUUUGAUGGCCUGAAUUCUCUUUUGCUAGCUGCAGGAGUUACAGUAGCUGCCAUUGCUGUUAUUGUAGGGGCUGUGUUCCUGGCCCGAAAAAAAUAAAGCAUUAUGUUGAUGUGAGGGAACAUGCUUGGGGUGGUCCAAACAUGGGCAGAAAUGUACAGUUUCUUCAGAGACCGUCGCAUGCCACAGAGUUGUCACAUAUUCAUCACAUGCAGUCACACAGCUGUUGGGAAGAGGGGCGGGAAAGCUUUAAGGAUUCAUGAGCCAUCAUCAUCUUUUGGAUACUUCAAAAUAAACUCUUAAUCUCAAUUUAGCAAAACAUCACUAUCCAGCAUUAAUUUCCAUCAUAUUAUUUACUAAACCUGGAAUUGUGGAGUAUUUGCAACAACAACAACAAAAAAAAAAUGCAAACUUUAGGCCAAUAUUUUUGAGCUGGUAAAAUAGCUGAUUUGAGAGAAUUUUUCCGGUUUGACUGUUUUGGUCUAAAGUUUGUAUUUCCCUUUCAGAUCUUCCACCGCUCCCAAGUGAAUUUAACGAAUUAGCAUGACAGUUUUUACAAUAACACUUCAUAUCACCAACAUAUUUAACUGUUUGUUUAACCAAUUGCUUCUCUAUUUAUCUAUUCAACACUUUAUUAUACCACAUUCUCUCGCAUCUCUUAAAGUAAAUUCUCCCUUUUACGUCUAGAUCUGUUAGUUUUCUAAACUCCUCUUCUGUUUAUCCCACAACUAAUAUUUGACUUCUUGCUACUUUUUAAAUGUAUUGCUGAUGACAGGGGUUCCUAACAUAGUCCACAAGUAACCCCCUUACAGUCCGCGAUUUAGGGGUUACUCAGUUGUGUCUAAGGUGUAUUAGACACAAGAGGGUAAUCCCUAAAUCCUGAACUGGUAGGGGGUACUUGAGGACUGGGUUGGGAACCCCUGGCCUUUGGUUUUAUUUGGAUUUCUCACGUGGGGUAGCCAUUCAGAUAUUUUUGUUUCAUCAUCUGAUUUUUUUUUAAUUAGUCCUCCUCACUCAUAUUUUGUGUUGUCUCCUACCCAGGCUCUGGUCCUGUACCAUUCGUCAACAUGUUUUCAUCAAGUUAUCUUGCCUCUAUGCCAUCACAAAACUAUUCCAUAUCACUAACAAGGUUACUGACUAAACUGGGAACAGAGUAUUGAAAAGGAAACUGCACAUGUUGAGCAAAACAAUAAGAAAAUAAAUCUAAAAUCCAACCAUUUUUCAGCUUAACUGUUUUGGUGUAAAAUGUGCAAUUUCUUUGACAAUUCAAAGGUCAUCAGAUAACCCAUAUAUCAAUUGUUUAACCAGUUAUAUAAACUCUGUACUGAGUAUUUUCCAAGCAAAUGUUGGUUUGAAGUUAGACAUAGAGAAGCAGCGUUUUUGCACUAUAUAAAUGCAUAGAUUGGUUUGUGGCUUGGCGCAUAUUUCACAUUAAAUAAUACUUUGUAGAAGUCGAGAUAAAGAACA